GACCAUUCCGCAGAGCGGGGGUGACGUAAGUCAUCCGGCUCAAACAGUGGUUCGCCCUGCGGGUCAAGGAUUUUUCCCUGCUUAAUCAAUUCUGAGCUUGCGGUAUUUAUCUCAGUAGAGGGAUUACACACCUCAUCAAUGUCAUAUUCCGAAUCUAGGUCGGACAAAUCGUUAGACUGAUCUGAGUCUAGGGCUGGGGCACUCUCCUCAUUUGAACUGAGUUCUGACUCAGUGGAAUCAGGUUGGGCUUUAGCCCACUUCCAAUGCCUAGCCGC